GUGCAGCAGGCGCGAAACCUCCGCAAUGCGGGAAACCGCGACGGGGGACCCCGAGUGCCGUGGCAACGCCACGGCUUUUCCGGAGUGUAAAAAGCUCCGGGAAUAAGGGCUGGGCAAGGCCGGUGGCAGCCGCCGCGGUAAUACCGGCGGCCCGAGUGGUAAUCACUUUUAUUGGGUCUAAAGGGUCCGUAGCCGGUUUGAUCAGUUCUUCGGGAAAUCUGACAGCUCAACUGUUAAGGCUUCCGGGGAAUACUGUCAGACUUGGGACCGGAGAGGUAAGAGGUGCUACAGGGGUAGGAGUGAAAUCUUGUAAUCCCUGUGGGACCACCAGUGGCGAAGGCGUCUUACCAGAACGGGUCCGACGGUGAGGGACGAAAAGCUGGGGGCACGAACCGGAUUAGAUA
rnacentral:rRNA from 1 species